GACGAACGCUGGCGGCGUGCUUAACACAUGCAAGUCGAACGGAAAGGCCCUGCUUUUGUGGGGUGCUCGAGUGGCGAACGGGUGAGUAACACGUGAGUAACCUGCCCUUGACUUUGGGAUAACUUCAGGAAACUGGGGCUAAUACCGGAUAGGAGCUCCUGCUGCAUGGUGGGGGUUGGAAAGUUUCGGCGGUUGGGGAUGGACUCGCGGCUUAUCAGCUUGUUGGUGGGGUAGUGGCUUACCAAGGCUUUGACGGGUAGCCGGCCUGAGAGGGUGACCGGCAACGGUGGGAGUGAGAUGCGGCCGAGCCUCCUAGGGGGGGCAGGGGGGGGGAAUUUGGCACAAGGGGCGGAGGCCGGAGGCACCACCGCCGGGGGGGGGAGGACGGCCUUCGGGUGGUAACCCGCUUCCGCCGGGGAAGAAGGGGGGGUGGGGGUAAGGGAAAGAGAAGCCCCGGCAAACUCCGUG
rnacentral:rRNA from 1 species